UUGCUAACUGGGAUCAAUCAAUAUUAUAUAUAUGAUAUGAAGGUAAACCUUGUGGGAUGUCGGCAGCUAUGACGGAAACUUCAGCCAGUAUCCAGAGACAAUUUGCUGAGCGAGAUUGGAUUAUAAGUGCAAAUGCCAGUCCGAGGAGCACGAUCCAUAGCAACUGUCUCACCAAACAAGUUCAAAUUCAUCAGAAUUAAACAUUCAAGAAGUUUCCAGGAUCAAGAUAGGCUACUGAGACCAGUAAACCAGGACCUACAUAGCUCAAGAACUUCUUCCAAGUUGGGGUCUCUUGUAUUUGCACCAAAGAGCCCAUUUCGUUCACAGUUUUGCCUUCUUUUCUUCGACCCACCUGCCCAAUUCAAGUGAGAUAGGUGAUGAUGGCUUCACUCUCACUUUAUAGACCCCCCCCCCCCCCCCCCCCCCCCCCCCUACAGUCGUCCUAGUAAUCUUGGUAAUAAAUUUUGUCCUAUUCGCAGCUAGACGUACCGCAUACGUACACCGUAUUAAGACAUUUGCAACCGGUUUUGUUCACUAGCUGCAGUGUGCAUGCUAGUAAGCUCUACUUUAUAAAUCCUAUACAAGGGAUACUUGUGAAAAUUACUUUACACCUACUCAAAUAAUCAAGCUAAGUCAAAUUACACCAAACACAUUGUGGUUUGAUGCAUCAUUGUUGCUUUUCAUAAAAUGAGUUGCAGGUACAAAUUCAAUCCCGUUGGAGUGUACUCCAAAAAAAAAAAAGAAGUUUUAUCAAUUUAUAAGGACGGUAUCUAGCUACAUGCACAUGAACUGUAACUACACAAGCAAAUGGAUUCACCUCUGCUCGUGCUCCCAAGGAAGACGACGUAGGGUUUAGCUAUUAGGGUCGAACA